rnacentral:rRNA from 1 species
UCGGGAAUUUUGGGCAAUGGGCGAAAGCCUGACCCAGCAACGCCGCGUGAAGGAUGAAGUAUUUCGGUAUGUAAACUUCGAAAGAAUAGGAAGAAUAAAUGACGGUACUAUUUAUAAGGUCCGGCUAACUACGUGCCAGCAGCAGCGGUAAUACGUAGGGACCAAGCGUUGUUCGGAUUUACUGGGCGUAAAGGGCGCGUAGGCGGCAAUUCAAGUCAUCUGUGAAAUCUCCGGGCUUAACUCGGAACGGUCAGAUGAUACUGCUUUGCUAGAGUGCAGAAGGGGCAAUCGGAAUUCUUGGUGUAGUGGUGAAAUGCGUAGAUAUCAAGAGGAACACCUGAGGUGAAGACGGGUUGCUGGGCUGACACUGACGCUGAGGCGCGAAAGCCAGGGGAGCAAACGGGAUUAGAUACCCAAGUAGUCCCUGAGCGGGCUGGCAAGGCGCAU